UACAGAGGCCUCGAGCGUUUAGGCGGAAUCACUGGGCUUAAAGCGUGUGUAGGCGGAGUGCUAAGUACCUUGUGAAAUCCCACAGCUCAACUGUGGAAUUGCUUGGUAUACUGGCAUUCUUGAGCCAUCUAGGGGCGAGCGGAACAAAUGGUGGAGCGGUGAAAUGCGUAGAUAUCAUUUGGAACGCCAACGGUGAAAACAGCUCGCUGGGGAUGUGCUGACGCUGGAGACACGAAAGCCAGGGGAGCAAACGGG
rnacentral:rRNA from 1 species